AGGGAAUCUUCGGCAAUGGGGGCAACCCUGACCGAGCAACGCCGCGUGAGUGAAGAAGGUUUUCGGAUCGUAAAGCUCUGUUGUAAGAGAAGAACGAGUGUGAGAGUGGAAAGUUCACGCUGUGACGGUAUCUUACCAGAAAGGGACGGCUAACUACGUGCCAGCAGCCGCGGUAAUACGUAGGUCCCGAGCGUUAUCCGGAUUUAUUGGGCGUAAAGCGAGCGCAGGCGGUUAGAUAAGUCUGAAGUUAAAGGCUGUGGCUUAACCAUAGUACGCUUUGGAAACUGUUUAACUUGAGUGCAAGAGGGGAGAGUGGAAUUCCAUGUGUAGCGGUGAAAUGCGUAGAUAUAUGGAGGAACACCGGUGGCGAAAGCGGCUCUCUGGCUUGUAACUGACGCUGAGGCUCGAAAGCGUGGGGAGCAAACAGGAUUAGAUACCCUGGUAGUCCACGCCGUAAACGAUGAGUGCUAGGUGUUAGACCCUUUCCGGGGUUUAGUGCCGCAGCUAACGCAUUAAGCACUCCGCCUAGGGAGUACGACCGCAAGGUUG
rnacentral:rRNA from 1 species